rnacentral:rRNA from 1 species
AUGGGCGUCUUACGGAGCACGCAGAGCAUGCAGGCUGAGGUGGAGGAGAUGCGCGCCGCGCUCUUCCACGGGGGCGGGGGCGCGGCCGGGUGGCGCCCCUCGGCCGGCGACAACGACGUCAAGCGCGCGGUCGACGGCGACGAAGGCGCGGCGGGCCCGCGCACCGUGUGCGUCACCGGCGGCAUAUCGUUCGUCGGCUUCGCCAUCGUCGACCGCCUCCUCCGCCACGGAUACACCGUGCGCCUCGCCCUCGAGACACAAGAGGACCUGGAUAAGCUAAGGGAGAUGGAGAUGUUCGGGGAGGACGGCCGGGACGGGGUGUGGACGGUGAUGGCGAAUGUGAUGGAACCCGAGAGCCUGCACCGGGCGUUCGACGGCUGCACAGGCGUGUUCCACACCUCGGCGUUCGUUGAUCCCGGGGGCAUGUCCGGCUACACGAAACAUAUGGCUAGCUUGGAAGCCCAAGCAGCGGAGCGGGUGAUCCAAGCGUGCGUGAGGACGGAAUCCGUCAGGAAGUGCGUCUUCACCUCGUCCUUGCUGGCCUGCGUGUGGAGGCAAAACCACCCUCAUGAAAGACGGGGCCCGACCAUCGUCGACGAGAACUGCUGGAGCGACGAGAGCUUCUGCCGCAACAACAAGUUAUGGUUUGCACUCGGCAAGACGGCGGCAGAGAAGGCGGCCUGGAGGGCGGCCCGGGGGAGAGACCUGAAGCUCGUCACCGUCUGCCCCGCGCUGGUCACGGGGCCGGGGUUUCGCCGCCGCAACUCCACCGCCUCCAUCGCGUACCUCAAGGGAUCUGGUGUGAUGCUCGCGGAUGGCGUCCUGGCGACGGCGAACGUGGCGACGGUGGCCGAGGCCCACGUCCGGGUGUACGAGGCGAUGGGCGCCAACACGGCCGGCGGCAGGUACAUCUGCUACGACCAUGUGAUCCGGAGAGCUGAGGAGUUCGCCGAGCUGGAGCGGCAGCUGGGGAUCCCGAGCAGAACGGCGGCAACGCAGAGCGUAGACGACGACGACCGUCCGGCGAGGUUCGAGCUCUGCAAAAGGAAGCUGGGGAGGCUCAUGUCCUCGAGGAGGAGGUGCACGUACGAUGACUAUUACUGCCCUGUUACGUUCCAAUAG